rnacentral:rRNA from 1 species
AGCUCCAAUAGCGUAUAUUAAAGUUGUUGCAGUUAAAAAGCUCGUAGUUGGAUCUCGGGUACUAGCAUGUGGUACGCAUAACUGCUGUUACUACAUGUCUGGUCCUAAUCAAUCGGUUGGCCGUUGAUGUCCUUCAUUGGGUGUUUUCGGUAGCCGGUACGUUUACUUUGAGAAAAUUAGAGUGCUUAAAGCAGGCUAUAGGCCUGAAUAAUGUUGCAUGGAAUAAUAGAAUAAGACCUCGGUUCUAUUUUGUUGGUUUUGUAGAGCAUUGAGGUAAUGAUUAAUAGGGACAGACGGGGGCAUUCGUAUUGCGGUGUUAGAGGUGAAAUUCUUGGAUCGCCGCAAGACGAACAGCUGCGGAAGCAUUUGCCAAAAAUGUUUUCA